rnacentral:rRNA from 1 species
UACGUAGGUGGCAAGCGUUGUCCGGAAUUACUGGGCGUAAAGCGCGUGUAGGCGGAUGGGCAAGUCUGCUGUGAAAGCUCCUGGCUUAACCGGGAGUGGUCGGUGGAAACUGCCAAUCUGGAGGACGGUAGAGGUAGGUAGAAUUCCCGGUGUAGUGGUGAAAUGCGUAGAGAUCGGGAGGAAUACCUGUGGCGAAGGCGGCCUACUGGGCCGGACCUGACGCUGAGACGCGAAGGCGUGGGGAGCGAACGGG